GGACCUCACGAACUGACCCACCGAUGUACUCUUCACUGAUCAGCUAAUUCUGACCUUCUCAUUAUCUUCAUAAUCACUUGCUGCAAGUUUCCAAUCAAAUUAUCAUCUUGUUCCUAUACCGUAUGUUGUUUUGACCAUUUGAAGCAACAGGAAGGUUCACAAACAGCAGUAUGAAUUAGGAGGAUAUAGUGGAUGCAAGAAUGCACCAGGAAGCAUGAACUUACAAGAGCGUGUCUCGGAUCGGUGGAUCGAAACGGAGCGGCGCAACUGAGCUGGUGGUUCGCGCGCUUCCUCGUUAUAUAAACUUCUAAGGCCAAGGUCUCCCUUGUCCCCCGCGCCGGUUCUAGGUACACACGCCGAUCCCUGAGCACUGCAACCUAUCUUUAGCAUGCACCGCUCUAGUUUGGCAGGAAAACUCGUGCGAUACACUUGCCAGCCUCUGACCAGUCCGCACCUGUAAAACACGACCACCGGCAAGGUCUGGGGCAGUCUAAGAGUUGGCGGUAACAUCCGUGCAGUUGGUGAAACGUUUCCCUGACAGAUUGAUGCGAUUCCAGGGCUUUUCAUUUGCCGUGCUUCACCUGCAGACCUUGAAUUUUCAAGGUGCAGUCAUGUUUCUGCAAUUACAGAGUAGUCACGGUUCCGUGAUGACCUACAAUAUGUACUGUUCCGGAGGAUGCCUUUGACUGUUCCUCAUUAUGUCCUAACAUGAAACAGCACUGCUCUGAAUGGCGCGUCAGCUGGUGUGCCGUUUUCAUGAAUUUCUUUAGUCCAUCCUUACUUAUUCACGCACCGCGCUAUUAUUAUUGGAACGUGUACUUUUAGACGACCUCUUACAACACCGCUAUGGUGUUAAAACUUGGUCCAAUUCCGCUGGGAUAAAUCAGUCGAUGCGUAGAUACCAGUUGCGUAUCUUAUCUAUCUCUGAUGUUGGAUGCCAUUAGCUGGCCAGUAGAGUUUAGUAAAUUUACUCUGCUGGCCCUUGACGUAUACUGUUUUAGUACGAGUUGGAUAAUAGGGAGGUUUCACAUACGUCUAUUAAACUUUCCAUCGAUUUGACAAACGAUUUGACAAGCCAUCCGAAGUUCAUUAUGGAAAAUAUUAACAAUGAUAUAUAAAAAUCAUAAGGUAAAAUCGAAUUGAGGAAGAAGAACAAAGUACAUAUGUAAGACCUUUCAUGUUAACCUGCUCUUAA